UAAAUAUAGAAUUUGAGGUUAUGUUAUGAAAAAAAAUCACGUACUUAUUGGAAUUUUAUAAAUAAAAGUACUAAAUAAUAUUAAAAUAGUGCAAAGAUGAAUUUACUACGAAAAGGAAUUUCGCUGUUAUCUAUUGGAUUAAGAAUCCAAUGCCCUGCUUAUAGUGCUACACCCACACAAUCUAUAAUCCGUCGAGUGGCACCCACAACAGACUUCCUAACCGGCUCUAAUCUCCAAGCAACAUCAGUGUUGUCGAGAACGAUGGCAUCCCUCGCGCAGAUGCACAAAACGGGUCCACAUAUCAAAAAGAGAAAAUCAAGAAAUCCGCUCAAUGGAAAUCCUUUCG